rnacentral:rRNA from 1 species
UACGAAGGGGGCUAGCGUUGCUCGGAAUCACUGGGCGUAAAGGGUGCGUAGGCGGGUCUUUUAAGUCAGGGGUGAAAUCCUGGAGCUCAACUCCAGAACUGCCUUUGAUACUGGCGAUCUCGAGUCCGGGAGAGGUGAGUGGAACUGCGAGUGUAGAGGUGAAAUUCGUAGAUAUUCGCAAGAACACCAGUGGCGAAGGCGGCUCACUGGCCCGGUACUGACGCUGAGGUGCGAAAGCGUGGGGAGCAACAGG